UACGGAAUGUGCAAACGUUAUUCGGAAUCACUGGGCUUAAAGAGUCCGUAGGCGGCAUGUUAGGUGAGGUGUGAAAUCCCCCGGCUCAACCGAGGAAUUGCGCUUCAAACCGGCGUGCUUGAGGAAGAUAGAGGUGGGCGGAACUGAUGGUGGAGCGGUGAAAUGCGCAGAUAUCGGGAGGAACACCUAUGGCGAAGGCAGCUCGCUGGGACGUUACUGACGCUGAGACGCGAAAGCGUGGGGAGCAAACAGG
rnacentral:rRNA from 1 species